rnacentral:siRNA from 1 species
GACCUGGUCGACGAUUUCAAC